rnacentral:tRNA from 1 species
CCAAAAACCGAGUGCGAUCUAUCGACCGUGUCCCUGAGGCAGGGUAUCGUACGGAUGGUGCGACGCGAUGGACAUCGAUCGAUAAUCGAACCUACUGGAAGACUAAUUAUAAACAUUGAAAAUUUGACAUAUACGCGCGCGCACAUAUUAUUUUUUCUUCGUGCGUGCGUGUGUACACGUUUAUUGUUAUAAGUUUGUUUUAUAACAAAAUUAAUCUUUUUUAUAUCAGCGAGGUUAUAUACAAAAGAAAGAGAGUUGUCGGCAGGCGGUAGCGUGGCCGAGCGGUCUAAGGCGCUGGUUUAAGGCACCAGUCUCUUCGGAGGCGUGGGUUCGAAUCCCACCGCUGCCAAUUUUUUUUCUCCCACACGCGAACCGUACUCGAUACUCGCGACCCCGUGCUUGGACUACGCGACGACCGCGCGGUGUACGAUUAGCGUGAACAGUAGUAGCGUCUUCUGCGAAGGUCCAAUGGGUUGCGUCGGCACGCGGCGCCGUGGUUCACACCUAACAGGAAAACAUGUAUCGCGCGUAGGCUGGCUCUCGACCGCUCUAUGUGCGCGACACCUAUAAAACCGACGGUCUACCUAUAGGUAGACCUAUAGGUCUAACACAUUGAUGACGAGCGUUGAUUAGCCAGAGUUCUACCGUUGUCAAAAGUUAUCGAUACGAAACAGAAAGAAGUAAUUUCUAUUUCGGGUGACGUGACGUCGGAGUAGUUUGGUUCUGUUUCUCUUGUCCGCAAGAGGAUCAAGGUGAAACUGCAACGAUCCACAAGAUGCAGAGCGACCUUACGGAAGCACAAAUUCGAAACUCUUGCAAGUAGAUGGGAUCCUGUUGAUGUUGUUAUCGUCAGGGGCUCGCCAUCCCUGCCGUUUUGGUUAAAAGGGACAGUUAUUGAACGCUUAUGAAACGACGAAGGGGAGAACGAUGCUACUAUGGACCACGCCCAAUUGACGCGUCUCCUGCAGCUCAGGAGAAACUGGUCGACCGCAAAUGAAUAAAUGCAGAUUGUGUCGCAUUUUGCAAAUUUGAAAUUUUCUGUCAAAAGUUAGCUUUGAAAGUUGACGCAUACCUAAGGCAGGAUUUCUGUAGGCAAGAGC